rnacentral:rRNA from 1 species
GAUGAACGCUGGCGGCGUGCCUAAUACAUGCAAGUCGAGCGAACAGACGAGGAGCUUGCUCCUCUGACGUUAGCGGCGGACGGGUGAGUAACACGUGGAUAACCUACCUAUAAGACUGGGAUAACUUCGGGAAACCGGAGCUAAUACCGGAUAAUAUAUUGAACCGCAUGGUUCAAUAGUGAAAGACGGUUUUGCUGUCACUUAUAGAUGGAUCCGCGCCGCAUUAGCUAGUUGAUAAGGUAACGGCUUACCAAGGCAACGAUGCGUAGCCGACCUGAGAGGGGGAUCGGCCACACUGGAACUGAGACACGGUCCAGACGCCUACGGGAGGCAGCAGUAGGGAAUCUUCCGCAAUGGGCGAAAGCCUGACGGAGCAACGCCGCGUGAGUGAUGAAGGUCUUCGGAUCGUAAAACUCUGUUAUUAGGGAAGAACAAAUGUGUAAGUAACUAUGCACGUCUUGACGGUACCUAAUCAGAAAGCCACGGCUAACUACGUG